GUUGAGAGGAAUGUUGUCUGGCUCGAGGUCAUGGAGGAAGAGGAGAGUACUGAGAUCAGUGAAAGUUUCCAAUGGAAAUUUACCCUCUUAACACACACACAGAAAAAAUGAUUCUCGGACCAGGCUUCAUUCCCCCCACC
rfam:Glycine soja cultivar W05 scaffold7578_11, whole genome shotgun sequence.